rnacentral:sRNA from 1 species
UCGCCUGUUUCUGGCGUGCAUACCGCACGUA